UUGAGAAGAGGAAAUACCACCACUGUGCAGCCAAGCUGUGCUGAGGACUGAUUGAAAGAAACUGCUGCUCCAGAUGUUGCUCUAGCCGGCUUGCGAAGUGUGAGCAGGAACAGACUGACUCCAUCAACUGGGCUCUCCCUGUUUAGAGACAAGACUGCUUGAAGCAAUUAGGUUCACCAAUUAGCAUAGUUUUACUGACCCGGGCAACAGCAGCGCUGGCUUCUCAGAUUAUCCGCUUCUUCAAAGUCCCGGGAAAAAGGAGGAAAACAUGCUUCCCAGGUGUGCCAGGCAGGAGACGAGCCUACAAACAGGAUUUUUAGGAACUCUGGACAAGAACUAGACAUGUGAGAGAAGAAAGUUCUCAAUCAAUCAAUCAACAUUUGUUAAACACCUGCUUGGUGCAAAACACCGUCCUGGGGAUCAUUCUAAUACAUAUUCUAUGGGCACAUAGUAGAGAGUCCUCUGCUUCUCCUUGUAUUCUGAAAGCAACAAUGGCUUAAAAAAAACAACAACCCAAAAAACAAAUACUAAUUCUUUCAGAAGUGUUUUCCCAGCUACAGAUGUGAAAUAGGCCAGUAUACAAAUCUAUUUGUUUCCCUUCUGUAGUGUUGAAAAUUAUAUUGAUUUAGUGUUCUCAAGUUAUACUUUUUAUGUAAUUAGUGGUGUAGUAAAAACUAAUAUUGUCAUGUGCUAACGUCUUUUCUUCCCCUGUUGUUCUAUGGAGCUGUUCCAUGCAAUAUCAGCAAGUUUACACUUUUCUUGUGUUUUUCUGAAAGCGAAGAGGAACAUCUGUUUCAAUUAUAUAUCUGCAUCAUAAUUAUAACAAUUAAAGAGCUGCCAUGAUUCUCCUGAAAAAGAAAUGUGGCCUCUGAAUACUCAUGGGAACUAGAAUAGAGGAAAUGAUGUUCCAUUCAUAUAAUGAGAUGAGAAAUUGAAGUUCUACAUGUUUAAAUGAUUCCUGUGUGAUGGCUAGUGUUCAUAAAAGCUUCAAUUCAAACUACCUCCUGAUAAACCCAGUGUUUUUGCCUGCCAUAUUUUUACUCUGAAAAAUUUAAUUCAUUCUUAGUCCAGAUGAGUAAGCUUGAGUCAUAAUGUUCAAGCUGCACAAUGGAAAAGGAGCCCUGUCAGUGGAGGCAAGGGAUUUACAAACUGCUGUAAAAUCAUGACUUCUCUCUAACUGAUGUUUCAAGACCAGAGAAUUGAUUUGAUAAAUUAACUACUUGCGUACUUCUGAAAGCAGAGGCUUGGAAGACUAUAAAGCACAAAUCCUUGUCUGCAGAAAAGAUGAAACUACUUAAGCAACUUCUCUCCCCAGUUUUUCCCCUCCCCAUAGAAGGCCUCUAUUAUAACAAAUAAGUACAGGGAACAAAACCAUUCUAUGAAUUGGAAGCAUCUCUAGAUCAUCACCUCUCAGCCAAGAGGUUCAUUUUUCUAAUGAAAACCACAGGGGCAGUGUCUACACUGGCAAGAUGCAGUAGAGAACCAAGCAAUCUGGUAAAGAAAUCAUCAUCAUUUUGAUUCUUCAUCCUGACAAAAUAUUUCAAUAGAUCAAGUUGAAUGCUCAGUGGUGAUGACUCUUUCCUGCAAAAUAUCACCAAUAAUGAACAAGCCAACAGCCCUGGAGAUGGUGGGUCACAAAGGUUGGAGAAAAAGGGAUAAAGCAAGGAAUUUCAUCAGAAUUGUAUAAGUGGAAUUAUGUGGAGAUUUCCCAUUUCAUGGACCUUUGCUAGUUUGCUCCCAUCCAUUUUCUUCAGAAAAGCUCAAGAAUCAUAUUUAUUACCUGAAGAAUGGAAGUCAUUUGCCAUUAUCUUCCCUUUAUAAGAUUUCUUGGGAGCAUGAACACAUAUCUACAUGAGACAAAUUGGGCGGACAUGAGUAGAGGGAUAGAAGAAGAAAUCCCAACAGCUUUCUCAAGCCUCCCAAGUGGGCCUUCAUAGUAUGGCUUCAUUAUUUCAUUUACAGCAUCGUGAAUUCACAGCUGCCAGACAAAUCCAUACCAAAAUUGGCGGUGACCCUAGCUAGGUGCUUGAAGCCAGUGCCAGAUGAACACAAGCUCUGACAGUUUCUACCAAGGUUCUGAAUAUGCCCCAGCAACAUAUUGUACGUCUGUCACCUUAGGAACAGCAUAGCUAAAUUUGGAAAGUCUCAUCUCCAGAAGGUUGGCUACCAGAUGAGGAAGCUCAUACUCAGAGAGGAUGCCUUGCCCAAGGUCAUGUGACUAGGAAGUGGAUGAGCUUGGGCUGGAAAUCAGGUCUUCUGACUUCACAUCCAAUGUUCUUUUCAUUAUAGCACACUUGACUGAGUUCUUUCAAGUUGAAGCCCAUAUGUUCUCAAGUUACUAAUAACUGUAUUUAUUUGGAUAUAGAUGAAAUAGCUGUUUUAUUUGCCCUGUACAGACUUGCCCAUGUUGGUAACUACACACUGAAAUUGAUCACUUGUGAAUGACUUUGGAAAACUAAAUGGACAUGUUUGACAACUCCAGUUGUCUGGCAAAAGUUUUUCAAAGACAAUCUAAGAGGAUCAGAUGAACAUCCCACUGAAGAGCAAUAAGAUGGAUUUCCAGUACUCUAGCCCAUAGGAUUAUGAAUUUAUAGUAAAACUCUUUUCCUACAGUGUAUCUGGACUAACAUCAUUUCGUAAAAACAUGUAUUACAGAAAUUGAACAGUUACUCUGAGAAACUGAUUUCUGAAGCAUUCUAUUCUGUUUGAGCAGUGGUGGGAGAGGAAACCUGUCACUUUUCAGUUUCCUUUCCCCUUGUUAGCAUAUGGGAUGCAAAAAAACUCAAUAAAAUUUCAAGAAAUA